UACACACAUUUUACACACACAUUUCUCUCUCUUUAUUAUUCUCUCUCUUUGUCGAACAAACUAUAACCAGCAAGGGGAAGGAAUUUUUCAGCUGCAAUGCAAGGGUUUAUAGCAAAAUUUAGGUGCUUCAACCUAAGGGCCCUGUAAAAAGUCGAGCUGCUAUUCCAUUAGGCUGACCAGCAUACCUGAGCACAGAAACGAGGGUUUUUAAGGGAGGUUAAUGUGUAACCAACACAAGUACCAAGGGAUACAGAGUGCAUGUGGUACAACACUCGGUAACUCCCGGAAGUACGAUAAUGGCCUUACCAACACGAGUACAGAGUCGAUACUCUAGUGCAUGUGGCACAUCAGUCGUACUUCCUUUGAGAACAUUCUUAACCAUUUGGUAAAAGAAAAGCCAAGUUAGAGGAGCAGUGAGUUGGGGCUCGGCAAGGAUGGUACAUAUCGCGGCAAUGCAACCUGGAGAGUUUCGAUCAUACUGCUUUUUGAGUUAUUUUGUUGCCGCCCUGUAGUUUGUAAAAAAAACAAUAAAUACUAUGUAACUACAUUAUGGUAUAUAUGUAUUUUUCAACAAUGUUCUAAUAUGAGAUCCCGACCUACAAAGUUUUACAUAUUUAUAAUAAUAAUACAUGUUUAAAUUUUAAAUUAA